UACGUAGGUGGCGAGCGUUAUCCGGAUUUAUUGGGCGUAAAGCGUGCGCAGGCGGUUUACUAAGUCUAAAAUUAAAGCCCGAAGCUCAACUUCGGUUCGUUUUAGAAACUAGUAGACUUGAGUGUGGUAGAGGCAAAUGGAAUUUCUAGUGUAGCGGUAGAAUGCGUAGAUAUUAGAAGGAACAUCAGUGGCGAAGGCGAUUUGCUGGGCCAUCACUGACGCUCAUGCACGAAAGCGUGGGGAGCAAAUAGG
rnacentral:rRNA from 1 species